rnacentral:tRNA from 1 species
GCACAUAUAGCUACAUAUUAAAACAAAACACGUUGGACUUAAAAUCCAAUGGGCAGCAAUGCCCGUGCGGGUUCAAGUCCCGCCUUCUGUACCA